rnacentral:rRNA from 1 species
UACGGGGGGGGCAAGCGUUGUUCGGAUUUACUGGGCGUAAAGGGCGCGUAGGCGGCCACCGCAAGUCGAUUGUGAAAUCUCCGGGCUUAACUCGGAAAGGUCAACCGAUACUGCGGGGCUAGAGUGCAGAAGGGGCAACUGGAAUUCUCGGUGUAGCGGUGAAAUGCGUAGAUAUCGAGAGGAACACCUGCGGCGAAGGCGGGUUGCUGGGCUGACACUGACGCUGAUGUCCGAAAGCUAGGGGAGCGAACGUC